GACGAACGCUGGCGGCGUGCCUAAUACAUGCAAGUCGAACGAGAGCGACCGGUGCUUGCACUGGUCAAUCUAGUGGCGAACGGGUGAGUAACACGUGGGUAACCUCCCCAUCAGAGGGGGAUAACAUCCGGAAACGGAUGCUAAAACCGCAUAGGUCUUCGAGCCGCAUGGCUUGAAGAGGAAAAGAGGCGCAAGCUUCUGCUGAUGGAUGGACCCGCGGUGCAUUAGCUAGUUGGUGAGGUAACGGCUCACCAAGGCCGUGAUGCAUAGCCGACCUGAGAGGGUGAUCGGCCACAUUGGGACUGAGACACGGCCCAAACUCCUACGGGAGGCAGCAGUAGGGAAUCUUCCGCAAUGGACGCAAGUCUGACGGAGCAACGCCGCGUGAGUGAAGAAGGUUUUCGGAUCGUAAAACUCUGUUGUUAGAGAAGAACAAGUGCUAGAGUAACUGUUAGCGCCUUGACGGUAUCUAACCAGAAAGCCACGGCUAACUACGUG
rnacentral:rRNA from 1 species